rnacentral:rRNA from 1 species
GAUGAACGCUGGCGGCGUGCCUAAUACAUGCAAGUCGAGCGAAUGGAUUAAGAGCUUGCUCUUAUGAAGUUAGCGGCGGACGGGUGAGUAACACGUGGGUAACCUGCCCAUAGGACUGGGAUAACUCCGGGAAACCGGGGCUAAUACCGGAUAACAUUUUGAACCGCAUGGUUCGAAAUUGAAAGGCGGCUUCGGCUGUCACUUAUGGAUGGACCCGCGUCGCAUUAGCUAGUUGGUGAGGGAACGGCUCACCAAGGCAACGAUGCGUAGCCGACCUGAGAGGGUGAUCGGCCACACUGGGACUGAGACACGGCCCAGACUCCUACGGGAGGCAGCAGUAGGGAAUCUUCCGCAAUGGACGAAAGUCUGACGGAGCAACGCCGCGUGAGUGAUGAAGGCUUUCGGGUCGUAAAACUCUGUUGUUAGGGAAGAACAAGUGCUAGCUGAAUAUGCUGGCACCUUGACGGUACCUAACCAGAAAGCCACGGCUAACUACGUGCCAGCCGCCGCGGUAA